UGGACCAAUGGUGAGAGCAUGUCAAGAAGGAGGGUUAUGAUCAAUCCAGUUCUGUGCACUUGAGGUCCAAU
rnacentral:snoRNA from 1 species